UCUAUUUCAUCACUUGCAAUAUAAGUUGGAAUAAGUAGCUGGGCUACAUAAUGUUCCAUGAUAAACAGGCAACUGGACGCCAAGAAGUAUUUGACCAAAAGAAAGCUCUGCUAUUCUUAUACUUAUAGAGUUGGGUCAGUAAUGUUUCAGCUGAAACUGAAAAGUCAAUGUAUGGUUAGGUAUUUCAAGCCAGAGAGGAAUAAGACAUGGAAAGGCCACAUUACUCAAAUAUAUGGAAGAGUAGAAUAGUUUCUGUUGUGGCGUAGAGCCUUUUAAAGAACAAAACCGUGAGGUCCACCAUGGCACCUGGCAUGGGUUCAGGCCAAAAUGGAUAAUACCUCAUGAGCACAGAGAUCGAGCCAUCCAAUCUAUCCAAACCAUCUGACCCCUUGACCGCAACAUGUAUUUUAUUCAGUGGAUUUUAUUGGCUCGGUGGUGUAUAGAUGCAGGUAGAUGCAGCAGACUGAAAAUGAUGCGGGAAUGAGCUUUCUGUUGUGUAUAUUCCGCUGAAUAUUAGCCCCUCAAAUAUUUUGCAGCAGAGAGUUGGGCGAAACAGUUUUUUGAAGCUUUUGUCUGGUACUCUGUUCUCAAGCAAAAUGGCAGGGGAUGGUUUGGUACAUGAGUUCUGAUGGCUUAAAGGUUUUGUAUUGUUCUUUAGUUUACAGGUUGAGUCUGUAUAUCUUUUCUAUAUUAGGUAUGGUGGGGUUGCUUUUAUAUAUGUCAGAGC
rnacentral:lncRNA from 1 species